rnacentral:rRNA from 1 species
GGGGGCAACCCUGAUCCAGCCAUGCCGCGUGUGUGAAGAAGGCCUUCGGGUUGUAAAGCACUUUCAGUAGGGAGGAAGGCUUUCGGUUAAUACCCGGGAGUACUUGACGUUACCUACAGAAGAAGCACCGGCUAAUUUCGUGCCAGCAGCCGCGGUAAUACGAAAGGUGCAAGCGUUAAUCGGAAUUACUGGGCGUAAAGCGCGCGUAGGCGGUGUGUUAAGUCGGAUGUGAAAGCCCAGGGCUCAACCUUGGAAUUGCAUCCGAUACUGGCACGCUAGAGUGCAGUAGAGGGAGGUGGAAUUUCCGGUGUAGCGGUGAAAUGCGUAGAGAUCGGAAGGAACACCAGUGGCGAAGGCGGCCUCCUGGACUGACACUGACGCUGAGGUGCGAAAGCGUGGGGAGCAAACAGGAUUAGAUUCCCUGGUAGUCCACGCCGUAAACGAUGUCUACUAGCCGUCGGGAUCCUUAGUGAUCUUGGUGGCGCAGCUAACGCGAUAAGUAGACCGCCUGG